rnacentral:misc_RNA from 1 species
UGGGUUUGCAGUAUGUGCCUAAAGGUCGUGUUUAUGUCGUAGUUGAUAACCGCAAUAACAGUUAUGAUUCGCAUGGCUGGUAAGAUUCUCAAGCCUCUACUACUUGCUAUUUGAAGGUUCAACUUUUCUCUUUUAAUUAUUUCUUUUCGCAAGGUAACCUAAAUUCUCUAUCAUGCUCAAAGUUUAAAGUAAAAAUGUCUAUCUUAGGAGUUUCUUGUUGCUGAUGUCUACUGCCUUUACAUUAUUUCCUUUAACUUCUAUCUUUCUACUUCCUUGUAUGUUCAUUCGGUUUUGAAGGGGACCCUUUCCUGUCAA